rnacentral:ncRNA from 1 species
UAAAAGUUUUAUCCUUGCUGAAUAAUCACUUUAUAAUUAAUUUACAUGCAAAUUUUUAUAUAUUUAUUGUUAUCUAAAUGAUAUAAUAAAAUAAUUGUUAUUGCAGUAAUUCAUAUUAUUUUCUUAAUUAAGGUUAGAAAUAGAAAUUUAUAAGUUUCCUGGUUAAAGUCGUGCCAGCCACCGCGGUUAAACGAGGGGGAGAAGUGAAUAUUAUUGGUUUAAUAGUUAGAUUUUUUGAAAAAUUUAUAAAAUAAUAAUUUUUAGGUGAAAUUUAUAAUUAUUUAUUAAAAAUUACAUUGAAACUAUGAAAUUUAUUUUAAAAACAAGGAUUAGAUACCCUUUUAUUAUAAAUGUGAAUAUAAACCUGGGUAGUACUAGUUAUGAUCUUGAAACCCAAAGGAUUUGGCGGUAUUUUAAUCUAAUCAGAGGAACCUGUCCCAUUAUCGAUAAUCCACGAUGGAAUAUACUUGAUUUAGUAAAACAGUUUGUAUACCUCCGUCAUCAGAGUAUCUUUUUAGAGAUAAUAUUCUUUUUAUAAUAAAUAUAAAAUGUCAGGUCAAGGUGCAAUUUAUAAUCAAGAGGAGAUGGGUUACAAUAAAUUUAUUUAUAUGGAUUAAAUUAUUUAAAAAUUUAUGAAAGUGGAUUUGGCAGUAAUUUUAUUUACUAAAUAUUAUGAUUUUGGCUCUAAAAUAUGCACACAUCGCCCGUCGCUCUCUCUAUAAAGAGAGAUAAGUCGUAACAUAGUAAGUGUAUCGGAAGAUGUACUUAGAAAGUA